CAGAGAUUGAAAAGAAGAGAGAAGCAGCUCAGUCCUGCAGGGUUUCUGCAGUGUUGUGAUGAGAACAUAAAUACUGUGCUGGCCUGGGGCCAAGAUGUUCAGCUGGAUCAAGUCCUGGAUGUGCAGCAGGGAAGGUUUUGGUGUUUCCACACACAACUGUACAAGUCACCAAAUGAUGAAACCUAAAACGCAGCAUUUGCAGUAGCAGAAAAGCAAGCAACUCUCCACCAG